rnacentral:lncRNA from 1 species
CUCAUCUGACUGUCGGAAUUAUCAUUCAUAAUAUGUUGUUUUAGUUGUGUCUUUCUGAUGAUGGUCAGGUUGGCCGAGCCAUACUCGGGUCCGAUCACUCGUUUGUUAGAUACACUAAAUUCUGGUAUGUUAAUGGUUGGACCUAACCAGAACCUUCAGUUCAGGUGCCACAUAUCUGCUGAAGAGGUGUCUGAGGUAAAAUUAAAUACUAAAAAUUAUUUGAUGAAAUAAUUGGUUAAGAACCUACUUG